rnacentral:misc_RNA from 1 species
CCAGGCCGUGUCGUCCACUUCUUCACCGCCACUUCUACUGCCGAAAGUUAUUACACCUCGUGCUCGCGCAUGCGCAUGCAGGUGCAAUGACAUGCAUUUCUUCACUAACUACUACGUACUCUACCAACCAGGUUGCCAUUGCCACAAUCAACAGUCGUUCCACAGCGCGAACAUCGGUAGCUGAUGCACGCCGGGCACCGGCCGCGCUGCCGCCGCCGCCGCCAUCCAGCUGCUUCCCUCCCCGGCCUCCAGUUUCAUGGGGUGGCCGUACUGGAGGCCGUGCAGCAGGUGGGCGCCGCGGUGGCCGUCGGAGGUGUCCGAGUUGUCGGACGCGGCUUGGUCGCCCGGCGCGUCCGACGAGCGGUCGGCGCCACCUGCGAGCGCCGGCGCCGCGUCCGGCGGCCGCGUCGGGGAGCGCCUGCACGCGUCGCCGCCGCCGAUGAGGUGGGUGCUGGCGCAGAUGCGCUUCACGUCGUACUUGCUGAUGUCGAAGUUGGUCACCGCGUUGAGGCCACGGAACUUGAUCGCCGCGAUGUCGUACGCCUCCGCCGCUUCCUCCUGCGUGCCUGCGCAAAUUUAUUAAUUGUUACUACUAUCAGGGGGGAGAAAAAAGAUCACAAGGCGAGUGCUUUCACA